UACGGAGGGAGCUAGCGUUGUUCGGAAUUACUGGGCGUAAAGCGCGCGUAGGCGGCUUUGUAAGUUAGAGGUGAAAGCCUGGAGCUCAAGUUCAGAAUUGCCUUUAAGACUGCAUCGCUUGAAUCCGGGAGAGGUGAGUGGAAUUCCGAGUGUAGAGGUGAAAUUCGUAGAUAUUCGGAAGAACACCAGUGGCGAAGGCGGCUCACUGGACCGGCAUUGACGCUGAGGUGCGAAAGCGUGGGGAGCAAACAGG
rnacentral:rRNA from 1 species